rnacentral:pre_miRNA from 1 species
AAAGACUCAAUUCCUGGGUUUUUGUGUACAACGUUUGACUGUCCGUCUUAUAUGAAAUUUUUUUAUGAUUAGUAUUUUUAUUGUUGUUAGAUGAUAAAACAAGAUUAAUACUUUAUGUGUGACUUAUAUUUUUAAAUUUUUUCAUAAUUUUUUUAAAUAAGACGGACAGUCAAACGUUGGACACGGAAACCUAGA